rnacentral:lncRNA from 1 species
AUGAUAGCUGCUGGGAGUUUAAAACCUUUGCAAUUUCGAAAUGGUGCCGAAUGGAACAGUGAAGAUGAAGAGUACCUAAAUUCGGAAAUAUCACUUAAGCAAACAGUUGGAAAUAAAAAAAAACAAAAAAAGAAAAAAAAAAAAUAUAUGGGUAAUACUAAAUGGUAUGAUAUUGAACAUAAGUUAAAUAAUUGUAGAGGCGAGAUUGAAGAGUCUGAUAGUAAUAGUACUAGUGAUGAGAGCUAUUAUAUAAAUAAAAACACCGAUAGUUGUAAUGAUGACACAAAAUAUAGUGAUGGAUAUGAACAUAAAUCAAAUUUUAACAAUAGUGACACUAAUAUAAAUGAAACUGAUACAGAUAGUAUUAACAAAUACAAAUAUAGAUCAAAGAAAAAACAAAAACACCAUAAAAAGGAAUUGAAAAAGAAUAAAAAUAAAAAAAAAUGUAAUAAAAAGGAUUUAGAAAUGGAUAGUUACAAUUUUAAUUAUAAUAAUUUAUAUAAAAAUUACAAAAUUAAAUAUUUAAAAGAUAAACUAAAAUGGGCUAAUGAAUAUAUAAAAAAAAAAAAAAACCAAAACAACACUACUAAUCAGUAUAAUAGCCAUAAUAAUAAUCAUAAUAAUAACCAUUAUAAUGAUAGAGAAAAAAAAAAAAUUAUAAACAAAGGACUAGAAGAACAUAACAAAAUUGAUAACACUUUAAUGAACAAUUUUCAAAUGGAAAAAAAUAAAAAACAUAAAGAACGUUUAAAUGAUAUAAUUAACUUAUUUUUACCUCAAAAAAAUAAAAGUGAAAAUCUUUUAGAUUUAUCAUUAAAACUUUCAAAAAUACCUGACAAUACAAAAAAUGAUUUAAUUAAUAUGCUUGUGUCAUGUAGAGAUUUAGAAAAAUUAAUUGAAGAACAACAUUAUGUUCUUGAUAUGUUAGACCAUGAUCUUAAAAAAGUUAAUGAUCAUUUAAAAUUACCAACACAAUGGGAUAAUUUUGAAAAUUUUGAAAUUUUACAAGAAAAAAUAAUAAGUGGAGAAGAACAAUCAGUACCUUUAAAUAACACUCCUUUAUUUAUUAAAGGAAAAGUACAAUUAGUACCAAAAAAUUUAGAAACAUUUUUAGAUAAAACCAACAUAAAUACGCUUAAUAAUAAAACACAACCAGUAGAUAAGGUAAACAUAAAUAUACCUAAAACAUUAGCACCUGAACAACCGUCAAAUACAAAAUUUAUUCCCAAGUUCAACAAAGCUAAAGUGAAAGCGAAAACACCUGUAUUAUUAAAAAACGUUUAA